rnacentral:rRNA from 1 species
GACGAACGCUGGCGGCGCGCUUAACACAUGCAAGUCGAACGGAAAGGCCUGCUUUCCCUUGUGGAUUGCGGGUACUCGAGUGGCGAACGGGUGAGUAACACGUGAGUGAUCAGCCCCCAACUUGGGUAUAAGCCUGGGAAACUGGGUCUAAUUCCCGAUAGGACUGCAGGGUGGUGCCUGUGGUGGAACACGAUUUUCUAGUGGUUGGGGAUGAGCUCGCGGCCUAUCAGCUUGUUGGUGGGGUAAUGGCCUACCAAGGCGGCGACGGGUAGCCGGCCUGAGAGGGUGGACGGCCACAUUGGGACUGAGAUACGGCCCAGACUCCUACGGGAGGCAGCAGUGGGGAAUAUUGCACAAUGGGCGGAAGCCUGAUGCAGCGACGCCGCGUGGGGGAUGACGGCCUUCGGGUUGUAAACUCCUUUCGACCGCGAGGAAGCCACCUGGUUGGAAGGGUGGUGACGGUAGUGGUAGAAGAAGCACCGGCUAACUACGUG